AUCCGAACACUUCGGGUUGGACAACUUAGCGUCCGAUUCCGAUCACUGUGAUGGUCGAAACCGCCCGUUCCUUUCAAUCGGUUUACCGGUCGGUCUCGGUCGGAUGGGGAAAUAACAAAAGAAGCCAAGGGAGAGGGAUUACAAUGAAGGAAGAAGAUAGAGAUGACUGGAAAAAAAAAAAAAGAAUAAAUCACGUGGACACACCAUGAAGCUGCUGUUCAUCAAUGGAUUCUUUCAAACAAAAGUCUUACUUACAAAUAAAAAAAUGAUGAACCCAGAAGAAUUUUGAAAAGGAAAAAAAAAAAAAAAAAAACUCUGCAAAUCUUCAACAACAUGGUUACUUUCAGAUCUAGAACUCAAAAAUGCAAUCUUUGCACAGCCUUGAGAGAUGAGAGAUGUGAGAGAUAACAUCACAGAUCAUAGUGAAGUCUGGUAGCAUAGUAGCAGCAAUGAAGAGUUUCCCUUUGCCAUAGCCAUGGCCUCUUCGGAACUAUAAAAAUGAUGAAGGUUUGAAAGUGUGAAAUUGUUUGGAUUUUUAAGUCAGGAACUUUAAAGAUUGAGAGAGAGAUUGACAGAGAGAGAGAUUUCAAAACGGUGAAGUUUAAAUUUUUUAGAUAGAAACUUUAAAGAUUAAAGAUUAAAAGGAAAAGAUAUUUGAAAUGAAUCUUUUAGUUUGCAGGUGAAGUCUUAUUUCCAAGGCAAAGUGUCAGGAUUGAGAGAGAGAGAAAGAUGCGAAAAGAUUUUAUUAAUUUUUAAAAAUAAUCGCUAUUUCAAAGGUUGUGAGAACAGGGAAAAAAAAAAUGUACUCUUUGCAAGGUAAAGAGAUAGUAAUAUAUAAUUGUUUACUCCAACUAUGUCUUAGGAUGAGGCACGACUGAGGAAAAAAUUCUACUUUUAUGUGUUUUUGUUCGGUCAGGUCGGUUUCACUCGAUGUUUGAACAAUUAAUCUGACGCCGACCGUCAACUCGUGAGAAAAUUAUUUUUGCAACCAUGGCCGACCGGGCCGGUCGGAUUGAGCGGGUCGGACUAAUUUUUGAACACCCCUAGCCGACACCACCAUCUUCAUCCACUGAUCUAGACUAUUUCUCUCUCUAUCUCUCCUCCUCCCGUCCCGCGCAACACUACCUUUAUCCUUGCCAUCGUUGAUCUGACGCCGAAAUCUGCAAAUUUGUAGAUCCAUUGUCCUUGGUUCGAACUUGCCAACCCAUAGGACAUAUUGGUGAUGGUCUUGAAGGCCUUCGUCACCAUGGUUUCCACAAGAAGAAAUGGAUCUCUCGACGCUGGCGGUAAUUCCACUAGAGCGUGGCUCUAUUGAUCCUCUGACGGACGGAGGCAGUGGCAGAGAAGCUCCAAGUUCCGGAAAAAAUGAUUCAACUCAGGCAAUUGCUCAAGGUUAGAAAAAAAAUAAUUUUUUUCUUUAAGAGACAUAAUUGUGUUUGUACGUCUUUUACUCAAUCUCUCUGAGGAUGACAUAUGAUUUGGUGAUAGAAGAUGAAAGUGAGGUAGGAUUUGGUAUGGCUUGGCAUUAGGUGCCUCUCAAAGAGACUGCUCUUCUUCAUUUUCUUCAUCUUCAUGAUCUCUGAUGAUGAUAAUCAUCUUAUGAGGAUACAUAUUAUUUGUAUAUGGUCAUAUCAUUGUGUUAUUAUUAUUUUUUUUUUUUUAA